rnacentral:pre_miRNA from 1 species
GUGAGGGUGAGAUUGAGAGAGAGGAUGAGAGAGGAGGAUGGAAGGGAUAAGUAACAAAAGUGAAAACAAUUUCAAAUAGAUUUUAGGUUUUAAAUUUUGUUUUAAAUUUUGUUACUCCUCCCUCCCAUCUCACUUUCCAUUCUCCCUCUUUUUCCUUUAUAUUAU